rnacentral:rRNA from 2 species
AAAGGCGAAAAGAACCCCGGAGAGGGGAGUGAAAUAGAUCCUGAAACCGUAUGCGUACAAGCAGUGGGAGCCUACUUUGUUAGGUGACUGCGUACCUUUUGUAUAAUGGGUCAGCGACUUAUAUUCAGUGGCGAGCUUAACCGAAUAGGGGAGGCGUAGCGAAAGCGAGUCUUAAUAGGGCGUUUAGUCGCUGGGUAUAGACCCGAAACCGGGCGAUCUAUCCAUGGGCAGGUUGAAGGUUAGGUAACACUGACUGGAGGACCGAACCGACUACCGUUGAAAAGUUAGCGGAUGACCUGUGGAUCGGAGUGAAAGGCUAAUCAAGCUCGGAGAUAGCUGGUUCUCCUCGAAAGCUAUUUAGGUAGCGCCUCAUGUAUCACUGUAGGGGGUAGAGCACUGUUUCGGCUAGGGGGUCAUCCCGACUUACCAAACCGAUGCAAACUCCGAAUACCUACAAGUGCCGAGCAUGGGAGACACACGGCGGGUGCUAACGUCCGUCGUGAAAAGGGAAACAACCCAGACCGUCAGCUAAGGUCCCAAAGUCAUGGUUAAGUGGGAAACGAUGUGGGAAGGCUUAGACAGCUAGGAGGUUGGCUUAGAAGCAGCCACCCUUUAAAGAAAGCGUAAUAGCUCACUAGUCGAGUCGGCCUGCGCGGAAGAUGUAACGGGGCUCAAACCAUGCACCGAAGCUACGGGUAUCACCUUUUGGUGAUGCGGUAGAGGAGCGUUCUGUAAGCCUGUGAAGGUGAGUUGAGAAGCUUGCUGGAGGUAUCAGAAGUGCGAAUGCUGACAUGAGUAACGACAAUGCGAGUGAAAAACUCGCACGCCGAAAGACCAAGGUUUCCUGCGCAACGUUAAUCGACGCAGGGUUAGUCGGUCCCUAAGGCGAGGCUGAAAAGCGUAGUCGAUGGAAAACAGGUUAAUAUUCCUGUACUUCCAGUUAUUGCGAUGGAGGGACGGAGAAGGUUAGGCCAGCCUGGCGUUGGUUGUCCAGGUUUAAGGUGGUAGGCUGAAAUCUUAGGCAAAUCCGGGAUUUCAAGGCCGAGAGCUGAUGACGAGUUGCCUUUAGGCGACGAAGUGGUUGAUACCAUGCUUCCAAGAAAAGCUCCUAAGCUUCAGAUAACUGGGAACCGUACCCCAAACCGACACAGGUGGUUAGGUAGAGAAUACCAAGGCGCUUGAGAGAACUCGGGUGAAGGAACUAGGCAAAAUGGCACCGUAACUUCGGGAGAAGGUGCGCCGGCGAGGGUUAAGGACUUGCUCCGUAAGCCCAUGCCGGUCGAAGAUACCAGGCCGCUGCGACUGUUUAUUAAAAACACAGCACUCUGCAAACACGAAAGUGGACGUAUAGGGUGUGACGCCUGCCCGGUGCCGGAAGGUUAAUUGAUGG